rnacentral:rRNA from 1 species
CAGCCGCCGCGGGAAUACGUAGGGUGCGAGCGUUAAUCGGAAUUACUGGGCGUUAAGCGUGCGCAGGCGGUUGUGUAAGACAGGUGUGAAAUCCCCGGGCUUAACCUGGGAACUGCGCUUGUGACUGCACAGCUAGAGUAUGGCAGAGGGGGGUGGAAUUCCACGUGUAGCAGUGAAAUGCGUAGAGAUGUGGAGGAACACCGAUGGCGAAGGCAGCCCCCUGGGCCAAUACUAACGCUCAUGCACGAAAGCGUGGGGAGCAAACAGGAUUAGAUACCCGUGUAGUCCCUGUCUCUUAUAC